GACCAGACUCCUACGGGAGGCAGCAGUGGGGGAUAUUGCACAAUGGGGGGAACCCUGAUGCAGCGACGCCGCGUGGGUGAAGGAGUGCUUCGGCAUGUAAAGCCCUAUCGGCAGGGAAGAAGCAAGACGGUACCUGACUAAGAAGCCCCGGCUAACUACGUGCCAGCAGCCGCGGUAAUACGUAGGGGGCAAGCGUUAUCCGGAUUUACUGGGUGUAAAGGGAGCGUAGACGGCCAGACAAGUCUGAAGUGAAAAUCCAGCGCUUAACGUUGGAAGUGCUUUGGAAACUGCCGGGCUGGAGUGCAGGAGGGGCAGGCGGAAUUCCUAGUGUAGCGGUGAAAUGCGUAGAUAUUAGGAGGAACACCAGUGGCGAAGGCGGCUUACUGGACUGUAACUGACGUUGAGGCUCGAAAGCGUGGGGAGCAAACAGGAUUAGAUACCCUCGUACAU
rnacentral:rRNA from 1 species